CCUACGGGGUGCAGCAGUCGAGAAUCAUUCACAAUGGGGGCAACCCUGAUGGUGCGACGCCGCGUGGGGGAAUGAAGGUCUUCGGUUUGUAAAUCCCUGUCAUGUGGGAGCAAAUUAAAAAGAUAGUACCACAAGAGGAAGAGACGGCUAACUCUGUGCCAGCAGCCGCGGUAAUACAGAGGUCUCAAGCGUUGUUCGGAAUCACGGGGCGUAAAGCGUGCGUAGGCUGUUUCGUAAGUCGUGUGUGAAAGGCGCGGGCUCAACCCGCGGACGGCACAUGAUACUGCGAGACUAGAGUAAUGGAGGGGGAACCGGAAUUCUCGGUGUAGCAGUGAAAUGCGUAGAUAUCGAGAGGAACACUCGUGGCGAAGGCGGGUUCCUGGACAUUAACUGACGCUGAGGCACGAAGGCCAGGGGAGCGAAAGGGAUUAGAUACCCGAGUAGUC
rnacentral:rRNA from 1 species